UGGUCAAGCUACUAAGGGCGUAUGGGGGAUGUCUUGGCAUUAGAAGGCUGAAAGGCGUGGAAGUCUGCGAUAAGCUUGGGGUAGUUGACAAACAAACAUUGAUCCCGAGAUUCCUGUUGCAAACCCGGAGAACUGAAACAUCUAAGUACCCGGAGGAAAAGAAAGAAAAAUCGAUACCGUUAGUAGCGGCGAGCGAAAUCGGUAUAGCCCAAACCUUGGGGGUUUCCCCUGAGGGGUUGUAGGACCUUUCAUAUGGAAAGAGUACUGGCUAGAAGAACGACUUGGAAUGGUCGACCACAGAGGGUGACAGUCCCGUAUUCGAAAGUUUAGUACCUACCGAAAGGCACCUGAGUAGGUCGAGUCACGUGAAACCUCGACUGAAUCCGCGGGGACCAUCCCGCAAGGCUAAAUACUCUCUAAUGACCGAUAGUGAACUCAGUAGCGUGAGUGAAAGAUGAAAAGAACCCCGUCUAGGGGAGGGAUAAGAACCUGAAACCAUACGCUUACAAGCGGUCGGAGCACUAUGAUUCGUUCAGUGUGACGGCGUGCCUUUUGCAUAAUGAUCCGGCGAGUUGUCGUAUGCGGCUCGGUUAAGGCCUUACGGGCUGGAGCCAUAGGGAAACCGAGUGUUAAUAGCGCGAAAUUGUCGUAUGCGGCAGACGCGAAACCUGGUGAUCUACCCAUGAGCAGGUUGAAGCGCGGGUUAUACUGCGUGGAGGACCGAACCCACUUAGGUUGAAAACUGAGGGGAUGACUUGUGGGGAGGAGUGAAAGUCUAAUCAAACCAGGAGAUAGCUCGUUCUCUGCGAAACAUCUUGAGGGAUGGCGUCGCGCCACUAUGUUACGGGGGUAGAGAUACUGAAUUGGAUGGGGGCCCUUCCCGGGGUACCUCACUGAACCAAACUCCGAAUACCGUAAUAACUAUCGCGGCAGUCAGUCCGUGUGGGAUAAGCUGCACGGUCAAGAGGGAAACAACCCAGACCAUCGUCUAAGGUCCCGAAGUCAUACUCAGUCACUAAGGAAGUUAGAUUGCUGAGACAGCUAGGAUGUUGGCUUAGAAGCAGCCACCAUUUAAAAAGUGCGUAACAGCUUACUAGUCGAGCAGUCUUGCGCCGAUAAUGAACGGGAGUAAGUAUGACACCGAAGACGUGGAAAUGUAUUUAUACAUUUGGUACCAGAGCGCUGUAUGGAAGAUACAAGCCCGACGGAAACGACGGGUCGCGGUCCAUACAGGUGAUUAUGCCGGAAUGAGUAACGAUAAAACAGGUGAGAAUCCUGUUCGCCGAAAGCCUAAGGUUUCCUGGGGAAGGCAAUUCCGCCCAGGGUUAGGCGGUACCUAAGUUGAGGCCGAAAGGCGUAGACGAUGGAUAGCAGGUUAAUAUUCCUGCCCCAGCUUGUGGACCGAUGGAGGGACGGCGACCAGAAAGUGAGCGGCACGAUUAGAAAUGUCCGUGGAUCACACUGAGAUGGAGGGAUGUAAAUACGCUCUCAUAAUUCAAGGUGUGAGACUGACUGACGUAGAUCGGGAAAUCAUUGGAAGGUCGUCCAAGAAAAGCUUCUAAGGGUUGAAGCAAGUCUGACCGUACUAAAACUGACACAGGUAGGCGGGUCGAGUAGACUAAGGCGCUCGGGAGAACGGUGGUUAAGGAACUCUGCAAAAUGGCCCCGUAAGUUCGCGAUAAGGGGUGCCCCUGGUGGUUCACGCUGCUGGGGGCCACAGUAAAUCGGCUCCUUCGACUGUUUAUCAAAAACACAGGUCUCUGCUAACACGUAAGUGGACGUAUAGAGACUGACGCCUGCCCGGUGCCGGUAGGUUAAGGAAGUGGGUUAGCCCUUGGGUGAAGCUCCCGACCGAAGCCCCGGUAAACGGCGGCCGUAACUAUGACGGUCCUAAGGUAGAAUUUUUCUGCCCUCCUGAUUGGCGACAAUCAGGGAUGCACUUGGCUGUAUGCUGGAACAUCUGAGUAUCCAACGGUACUCGUUUUCGGAAUUUAAUUCUGAAAACAGUGACAAUCCGUUUGGUGCAGACAAUCAGCAGGAAACCGAUUUUGUUUGGCUUUUGCCAGACGAAUGACGGAUCCUCAGAGACUAUACGCCAAGCAACUCGCAUUCGAUUCAAAUCGAUCGAGUUGAAGAUAUAGUCCGAGCUGCAUGGCGACAUGCAGAGGUUGACAGAAAUGAUCAACCCGCCGAACGCAAAUCAAAAAUCUCGAUUUGCACUGCAGUAUUCUUAGCAAAAUCAACACCCGUUCGACUUCUCAAGUGGUUCAUUUAUUACUCACACUCCAUGACAGUAAACUGUCCGCAUGUCGGAUAGUGCGCUGAGACUGGAAUGUUUGUAAUGCAAUCGCAUUGAGCGGUUGGACAAAUGGUUGACGUGCUUUGAAUCUUUCUUGCAGACUUCGGUAGUAACAAAACUGAGCGAAGUUCCUUGUCGGGUAAGUUCCGACCUGCAUGAAAGGCGUAACGAGAGGAGCACUGUCUCAACCACCGACCCGGUGAAAUUGUAGUGGUGGUGAAGAUGCCACCUACCCGCGGUUAGACGGAAAGGCCCCGUGAACCUUUACUGUAGGCUGAUAUUGGGCUGAGGUAUAUUUUGUGUAGUGCUAGGUGGGAGGCUGUGAAACGGUAGCGCCAGCUAUCUGGAGCCGAAAGGUGAAAUACCACCCUGGAUAUGCUUUAGUUCUAACGAUGACCCUUGAAUCAGGGCAUCGGACAGUGUCAGUUGGGCAGUUUGACUGGGGCGGUCUCCUCCCAAAGAGUAACGGAGGAGUACAAAGGUACACUCAGCCUGGUUGGCAAUCAGGCGUCGAGCGCAAAGGUAGAAGUGUGCUUUACUGCGAGACCCAUAAGUCGAGCAGUUACGAAAGUAGGUCUUAGUGAUCCUGUGGUUCCGAAUGGAAGGGCCAUAGCUCAUCAGAUAAAAGGUACUCCGGGGAUAACAGGCUUAUCGCAUCCGAGCGUCCAUAGCGGCGAUGCGGUUUGGCACCUCGAUGUCGGCUCAUCACAUCCUGGGGGUGAAGAAGCUCCCAAGGGUUUGGCUGUUCGCCAAUGAAAGUGGUACGUGAGCUGGGUUCAGACCGUCGUGAGACAGGUCGGUCCCUAUCUGCCGUGGGCGUACGAAACUUGAGGAGGUUCAUCUUUAGUACGAGAGGAUUUGGAUGGACGUAGCUCUGGUGUACCAGUUGUCACGCUAGUGGCAUGGCUGGAUAGCUAACUACGGAAAGGAUAAACGCUGAAAGCAUCUAAGCGUGAAGCCCUCUCCAAGAUAAGGUUUCGUUGCGGUUUACCGCGAAAGUCCCCUUGAAGACGACAAGGUUGAUAGGCCAGAUGUGUAAGCUCAGUAAUGGGUUCAGCUAACUGGUACUAAUGGACGAACGCUUGACCACAUAU
rnacentral:rRNA from 1 species